UACGAAGAGGGCUAGCGUUGCUCGGAAUCACUGGGCGUAAAGGGGGCGUAGGCGGGUCUUUAAGUCAGGGGUGAAAUCCUGGAGCUCAACUCCAGAACUGCCUUUGAUACUGAGGAUCUUGAGUUCGGGAGAGGUGAGUGGAACUGCGAGUGUAGAGGUGAAAUUCGUAGAUAUUCGCAAGAACACCAGUGGCGAAGGCGGCUCACUGGCGCGAUACUGACGCUGAGGCACGAAAGCGUGGGGAGCAAACAGG
rnacentral:rRNA from 1 species